GUACUGCAAACAUGGACUAAUAAAAAAUUUAAAAAACAAUGUAUCUUUAGGCUGCAGAUGUAGCUUAGUAGUUCAUGUUUGCAAAGCAUAUGUGAAGCCCUGCACCCAAGUGCUUAUAAUUCAGCAAAGUGUCUGCCCUGUUUCCUUUUUGAAAUUAAUUAAAUUUUCUGGUACAUUUUAGAUACACAAUGAUCACAUUCAUCAUAGGGAAUUUAUACCUGUACAUAAUACAUCUCUAGUCUUCUUUUUGUCUCCUUUUUGAGAAUUUAAAAAACCAUAUCCCUGGGGCCGGGGAUUUAGCUCAGUGGUUUCGCCUGCUGCGCAAGCGCAAGGACUUGAGUUCGAUCCCCGGUACCAAAAACAAAAACAAAAACAAAACCAUAUCCCUGACGGUUUGAAACUGACUCUUGCCCUGAAGAGCCAUUCAAUGAAAAGGAUUUUAAGAGAACAGGAUGGGUCUUAGGCAAAUCAAUUGACCUAUCCCAGAUCUUAGUUCCAGUUUCCAAGAUUUACUGCUCUGCAUUCCCACCUCAUGGUGUCCUUUGUAAUAGCUGUGCUAGAUAAUAAAAGGAAAUGAGGCCGCCGGAGAUUUAGCUCAGUGGUUCUGCCGCCUGCCCUGCAAGCUCAAGGACCCGAGUUCGAUCCCCGGUACCAAAAAAACAAAAAAUAAACGGAAAUGAGCAAGGUAUUGUAAGUCCAUAAGUACACCCACUAUUACCAACCCGUCCCUAUGCUGAGUGUGUCACAAUGAGCAGAAGAAUUGGACCGUAUCUUAUUCUUCUGGAAGUAACUAGGUCCAAGCCAGAACAAGUACCGAGAGGCUUCCCCUCCUCGCCCCACCCUCGUCCCCACCUGCCUGCCCGGAACGCCCGCUAGUUCGGAGGCAACGGCUGGGGAACCGCCCGCCUCUGUCUGCAACGCCGCCAGCCAGGCCCUAGCAGUGUGCGACCCCAGCGCCUGCACUCCGGCCCUCGCUGGGGAGCCAGGUGAGCCACUGCCUCUGCGGGGGACGCCCGGGAACCCAGACUGGGAGCGGCGAGGCAGAGAUGAGCUCUCCUCCACAACCUCUUGCUGUUGAGAGACAAUCACCCACAGUCCACAGUCUGAGAGAGAGCGAGAGAGAGACAGAGAAGAACCACUGGCUCAGUUGUGAUCAUGUGACUUCAGCAUCACAUGCCACUCUACUGCAAGACAUUGCUCAUUUAUCACGUUAAAAUGUAUUAGAAACGUGUGCUCAUCUUGUGGAACACUCACAGAACAAGUUACUCACAAUCCAAGGUUUUACUGUAUUGUAAAAUAUCUUUCCCAUCCUGCUCUGGAUUCCUGAAACCAUUCUCUUAGUGCUUUCCUGAAUUUGUGAUCUUUAGUUCAUGGAUGUCAUCCAGCAUACAACUGCUACCUGAUGUUUUGAGGCAGCACAGUUUGUAAUAGCUAAAUCUUGGAACAGCCCAAAUGCCCACCAACUGACAAGUGGAUAAAGAAGAUGUGG